AUGCAUUGUGGACAAGAUAAACAUGAGUUGGAGAGCUUAGUAAGGUACCUGGCUUUCAAACUGAUGUGAUCGAUUAUCUGAAGCUUUUGCAAAAAACUGUUGUUUGUGCUGGAUAAGUCCUUUGAGUUCUAUGAUGCAAAUAUAAAAUUCAAGAUUAUAUUGAGUUGUUAUUGAUGUUAUUAGUCUCAACUAAAGUUCGUUCAUUAUAUUGGAAUGUGUAAGUCGUUUAUCCGAGUGAUUGUUUUCUCAAUUCUACUUAAAAGCCAGUUAGGCGUGAAACAAACAAUGCCACAAUUACAAAUUAUGGUACAAUUGAAUCACUGAUUUUUCUAUACAGUUCCCUUAGUUUUGUCAUUAUUCAAGAGUAAUAUUUUCAUUCGACUAUUAGUCGUUAAACUUUCUUUGACCAUGUGAUUUUCAUGUGAUAAACCUUUAAUAUAGAUGUUUAUUUAGCUUCAAGAUUGAUUAUUAACCUACAAGAGUGUUUGCGUAUGCUCAGUUUUUUAGUUUCAUGCUGGUGUUUAGGAGGCAAGACCAUAGUAAUGAUUUCAUUAGUACUGACUUUGUAUCUGAUGUCCAAGAAAUUGUGAAAUCCGUCCUCAAGGCCUACAUCAGAGGAGAAACCAAGGUACUGGAGAAAUAUUGUUCCCCUGAAAUAAUUGAGA
rnacentral:lncRNA from 1 species